rnacentral:rRNA from 1 species
AACAUAAAUAGCUGCAGACUUAUCUGUACUAAGGUAGCAUAAUCAUUAGCUUUUUAAUUAAAAGAUAGAAUGAAAGGUUAAACGAAAUAUUUUCUGUCUCUAACAUUAAAAACGAAAUUAAAAUAAAAGUAAAAAUUCUCUUAUAUACUAGAAGGACGACAAGACCCUGAUAAACUUAUUCAUUUUGCUGGGGCGGCAACACAAAAAAACCUUAACUUUAAUUCAUAUAAACAAUCCUAAUAAAAAUUAAACAAGAUACAGUUACUACAGGGAUAACAGCGCAAUCUUUUUUAAAAGAACACAUCCAAAAAAAGCUCUACGACCUCGAUGUUGAAUUAAUUUUUCUUUUAAGAGCGAAAAUCGUUAAUAAGAAGGUC